rnacentral:rRNA from 1 species
UACGUAGGGCGCAAGCGUUAUCCGGAAUUAUUGGGCGUAAAGAGCUCGUAGGCGGUUUGUCGCGUCUGCCGUGAAAGUCCGGGGCUCAACUCCGGAUCUGCGGUGGGUACGGGCAGACUAGAGUGAUGUAGGGGAGACUGGAAUUCCUGGUGUAGCGGUGAAAUGCGCAGAUAUCAGGAGGAACACCGAUGGCGAAGGCAGGUCUCUGGCAUUAACUGACGCUCAUGCACGAAAGCGUGGGGAGCAAACAGG